UACGUAGGGUGCAAGCGUUAAUCGGAAUUACUGGGCGUAAAGCGUGCGCAGGCGGUUUGUAAGUCUGUCGUGAAAUCCCCGGGCUCAACCUGGGAAUUGCGAUGGAGACUGCAAGGCUAGAAUCUGGCAGAGGGGGGUAGAAUUCCACGUGUAGCAGUGAAAUGCGUAGAGAUGUGGAGGAACACCGAUGGCGAAGGCAGCCCCCUGGGUCAAGAUUGACGCUCAUGCACGAAAGCGUGGGGAGCAAACGAGGAUUACGAAACC
rnacentral:rRNA from 1 species